rnacentral:lncRNA from 1 species
GAACCAAAUCCAAAGAAAUCCACCUUUAGCAGGUGCAUGUUCGACAUUGUGGGAAAGUAACCUGCCGAGUCCAGGGCAGAACUGCGCCAGAUUGAAACUCUCCCAGAUGACUCUAUUGAUGAAUAAACAAAGAAGGUCGGCCGAGGUGAUGG